rnacentral:lncRNA from 1 species
UGUGAGUUCAUGUCCCCCUUUUCUGUUAGUUGUUUUCAGUUUUUAUACUUAAGGGGUGAAAUACAUGUUACCAUGAUUACGAAUACGUUUUACAUGGUAUGGUUAGCGUAAGGAGGGACCGAGGGUCAUUAGCGGUAGGGUCUAUAGUGUUUGCCCAGUCGUUUUUUGGGUGGAGGUGCUCACCGGAUUGAGUUGCAGGUUCAUCGGAAAGCCAUUUUGGUCACCAGAUUGGUGUGGCAGUUGUGGAGGUGGAGGUGAUGGUGUUGUGAUGUAAGAGAGAGAGAGAGGGGGGCGGUGGUUACAGGGGGUGCGAGAGGGUGGUGGCAGGUGGUGGUGCUUGGCGGCGAGAGGGGGGUGGUGGUGGUGGUGGUGAGUUCGGUGGUCAAAUAUGUGGUGGGGAUGAAGGGUUUAAAUAGGGGUAACGAAGAUUUAUUUUUCAUUAUUUUUAUUCAGUUGUGAGUUAUAAUAAUUACAAAAUGCCCAAAAUGCCCCUGAGAAUAAAGAAAAAUAGAAGGGUUUAAGUAGGAGAAUCUGGCCAAAUUUGAAAUUUGGACCAAAAUGGCAACAAAAACCAAACCACAGGGCCUUGAAUGUAAAAAGUUUGAAAUUUGAACUAAAGUGGCAAAACUGGCCAAACCUCAGGGACCAAAAUGACAGUUUACUCUAGAGUAUAAUACUAAAAUAUGGUUAAAAAUAAUUAUUAUUUUAAAUAAUAAAAAAAUAAUUUAGAUUUCUCACCCAAAAUGAAAUUUCCCGCCACUACCCCUAAAUUCUUUGAUUUCCCUCUCAGUUUUUCCCCAAAUCUGAACUCCCCGCUAUUAUCCCUAAAAUUUUCAUCUAAACUUUUUUUAUUCUCAAAUCUUUUCACACACAACUACCACUAGGGUUCCACAGAGUAGAACCCAAAGAAAACAAAGAAGAAUGAGAGAAUCCUAGAGCAUUCUCAUUCCAAACGACUUGAUCCUUCUUCCUCGAAGAUAAAUGGAGUUCACUUCCAGCCACCGUGUGCCGCGGUUGUCGUUUCAGACGAAAAAAAACAAAUGUAGAAACUAUAUGAUUUUCGAUGACCCGUCGAAACUUAUGUGGUUCCUUCCGUUUCGUUGAAUUGCUUUCUCUCUGAACGCACAAUAACCACUGGAGGUGACGAAUUAGAAGAUUAUUUGUUAUACCGAAAGACAAACGUGGAUCACUUAUAAAUAUAGUUCUGAUUCACUUCAUAACUAGGGGUCUUCAUUCAAGUUCGAUUUCAUAUGAUCCAAUGAUGUUGAUGAGGGAAUAUAGGUUCUGGAGAGGAAGGGUUGAAGAUGGAUAUGAAGACCAGGUUAAAAAAUCAUCCAACAAUAGAUUUUAGUAACUGUUUAUUAGAUGUUAGGACUUUAGAGUUAAACUUCAAUGAGCCAUAAGCCUAUAACCAUCGUGAAUACAACAAUAAGUUAUUAUUUUAUGACUUAGGGGGUGUUUGGGUUAGCUUAUUUUGAAGCAACUUAUGACUUAUUAACUUAUAAAAGUUAAUAAGUUGUUUCUUAAGUGUUUGGGUUAGCUUAUUUUAGAGGAUUUUGUGUGUGUGAGAAGUCAUUUUUGAGAAGUCAGAAUUUCUGACUUCUCACUUAUGACUUAUAUAAGUUAAUAAGUCGUUUUGAGAAGGAAUGCCAAACACCCACUUAAACUAUUUUGACAUUGUCUUUAUGUUGUGGAUAUGGACACUACAUAUCUUAUGACUUUGGGCUUAUGUAUGUAUGGGUAUUUUCCCAUAGCCAGAACCUUUGUUGGUUGUACACUUUUGGGAUGUGUUCCCACUGACACUUAAAAAUAAUAAUAAUAAAAAGAAACAGAAAAGGAGUAACACAAGCCCAUAAUUUGCAAUCAAGACAAGCAUUUGGGACUUUGGAGUUUGGACCGUAAGAAUAUCCGAAAAGGAGUAUCCCAGGCGAAGGGGAAAUCGUCAACUGUAAAGCCGCACGGUGAGACGAUAACACACAAAAAAUGGUGAUGGCGUGUGCAGUGGCGGGUACUGGUUUUUGAAUUUACAUUCAGUGAUUUUCGUGACCGGAAAUGCCAAAACGCUCGAAGAAGUUAAAGUUAUUUUAGGGCAAUCAAUCCCUUUUCGCAACCAAGUGUUAAACUCGACUUAACGGUGUUGGAACAUCAAGGCGACCCAGAAGAUCGAGCUCGUUUAGCUACUAAUCAGGCCCACUAAUUACUCAAUACUCGUAUUCUAUAAUUUAUAUUAGUAAUUAUUAAAAGUUUUAGUUUUAAUGAUAUGGGAAUGUGUGUAGGUGAAAGGACGAGUGUUGGUUAAGUACACAUGUUUCUGUUUCAAUGCUCACAAGGGACUCCGUGGUAGAUUUAGUUCAUACAAUUGGAUAGAGAAGAGGAUUAGAGUUGAUAUGAAGAUCAAUUAACUAAUAUAGUAUGAUCUGUUGUUUUGUUUACAGGGUCUUACAUGUAACUCUCUAUUGUCUGCACUUGUUUGAUUGUUCUGGUUCUUAAGGUGAUGUUUUAU